AGAGGCUGAACCUGGGCGUCUCCGCCAUGGCCUGGACCCCUCUCCUGCUCCCCCUGCUCACUCUCUGCACAGGCUCUGUGGCCUCCUAUGAGCUGACCCAGUCGGGCCCUUUGUCAGUGGCCCCGGGAGGGACGGCCAGCAUGACCUGCUCUGGAGAUUUACUGGAUAAAAAAUAUACUCACUGGUACCAACAGAAGCCCAGCCAGGCCCCUGUGCUGGUCAUUUACGAGGAUAACAAGCGGCCCUCAGGGAUCCCGGACCGGUUCUCAGGCUCCAGCUCAGGGAAGACAAACACCCUGACCAUCAGCUGGGUCCUGGCUGAGGACAAGCCUGAAUAUUUCUGUCAGUCAUGGGACAGCAGUGGUAAUGCUCACAGUGACACAGGCAGAUGGGGAAGUGGGACAUAA